AGUGAACGCUGGCGGUAGGCCUAACACAUGCAAGUCGAACGGCAGCACAGUAAGAGCUUGCUCUUACGGGUGGCGAGUGGCGGACGGGGGAGGAAUACAUCGGAAUCUACUUUUUCGUGGGGGAUAACGUAGGGAAACUUACGCUAAUACCGCAUACGACCGACGGGUGAAAGCAGGGGAUCUUCGGACCUUGCGCGAUUGAAUGAGCCGAUGUCGGAUUAGCUAGUUGGCGGGGUAAAGGCCCACCAAGGCGACGAUCCGUAGCUGGUCUGAGAGGAUGAUCCGCCACACUGGAACUGAGACACGGUCCCGACUCCUACGGGAGGCAGCAGUGGGGACUAUUGGACAAUGGGCGCAAGCCUGAUCCAGCCAUACCGCGUGGGUGAUGAAGGCCUUCGGCUUGUAAAGCCCUUUUGUUGGGAAAGAAAAGCAGCAGGUUAAUACCCCGCUGUUCUGACGGUACCCAAAGAAUAAGCACCGGCUAACUUCGUG
rnacentral:rRNA from 1 species